rnacentral:rRNA from 1 species
GACGUAGGGCGCGAGCGUUGUCCGGAAUUAUUGGGCGUAAAGAGCUCGUAGGCGGUUUGUCGCGUCUGCCGUGAAAGUCCGGGGCUCAACUCCGGGUCUGCGGUGGGUACGGGCAGACUAGAGUGAUGUAGGGGAGACUGGAAUUCCUGGUGUAGCGGUGAAAUGCGCAGAUAUCAGGAGGAACACCGAUGGCGAAGGCAGGUCUCUGGGCAUUAACUGACGCUGAGGAGCGAAAGCAUGGGGAGCGAACAGG